CAGACAUCUAACAGCAAUCUGUUUAGGAAACUUGUAGGUGAUUGGAGCUGUAGGGUUCAUGAACCAACAAUUAGAGAUCCCCAAAGACGUGGAUCCACAAUGGACCUCUAUAAUUGAGAGCUGUUGGCACAGCGAGCCACAGUUGCGACCGUCAUUCCAUGAAUUGAUGGAAAAGCUAAAGGAUCUGCAGAAACACUACGCCGUUCAAAUUCAGGCCACCCGUUCUGCUGCAGGAGAUAGGCAAAAGGAAUUGUAGGAUGCUGGGGCUCGAGUUUGACUUGUGUUGCUGGCUGGUAGUUGAAUUGUGUCUAGUUCUGUUGGUGUUGUUAGUUCAUGUUAUAGAGAUAAUUUGUCAUUCACCUCAGUGGUAUUUCAUGCCAUUGAGACCAUUUUGUUAUUCAUUUGUGCUCUUUAGGAGAACUAUGAGUUGAGAACAGGGAAGAACAUUUGUACAUACACCACACCAUUUGCCAUAUUGUGCUGUAAAAUUUUUUGAAACAUUUUCUCAA